UGGGUGCCCGGGGGUGUCAGGCUCGGCGCAGGUGUGAUCCAGGCCAGGGCAGCCCUUCUCUCCAGGUCCGUCUGGAUCGGAACCUGGAGGGGGAGAUGGCCUCUUGGAAGAGAGGAGGGAGCCGGAGCGCGCAGGGAGCCUGGGGCAGGAGGGAGGCCAUUCCAGAAGGUCCCGCUGGUCUUACCGUUGGGAUGGAGGCGGGCCUCGGGGAGAGCCGGGGCACCCCGGGUGCAGGGGUGAGGCGGCAGACGCCCCCAGCUCUGGGCAGCGCCGGCCACACCCAGCCGGGCAGAGCUUGGCUUUUCUGAACCCAGACCACUCUCCUGUUUUUGCGUGAAGGGUGGACGUGGUAACAGAUCGGGGCUCUUCUAGGAACCAAGAGCAGGCUGGACACCACACUCCGGGGUCUGAAACAUCUCCUUCUCCUACACCUCACCGCACAGGGAACCCGCAAGUGCUGUCUGCGCUGCGUCCCUUCCAGGCAUCCUCGGGAGCCCCCCACCACGGCACACAGGGAUGCUGAGGCUGGGUGACCACCUCCCCGCCCUCCAGUCCAGCACGCCCUGGAGGACCCCAUGCCCGGCUGUCCGAGCUCCCACCAGCAUUGGCAGGCGGAAGCUGGUUUCCUGCCUGGCCGGUUUGCCCUUCAGCUUUGGCCCCUUGUCGUCCUCCUGCGUGAUCGCCGCUCUCCCCGGCUUGAGCUGUCAGCCUGCCACCGGCCGAGUGCCCGGCCAGCCCCACCGGCCUCCCAGCUCCAGGUCCGGGGAGCACCCGCCCCCACGGCCUCCCUGCCCCUCUGAGCACACUGACCACGCACAGGCUCACGCCGGCAUGGAUUCUGAUCCGGAUCUGAAGGAGCUUUGUGGCUCCCUGAGCGUAGAGGGUGCAGGAGGUACGGUGGCCGGGUGGGGAGUGGAGCCCACCCCGGCCCGGAAGAAACAGCGCUGGAAGGACAGGCCGGAGGCGCCGGCCCUCCGUGGCCUGGACCGCCCUCCCUGCUUCCCCGUCCUCCCACUCGGCGUCCCCCGGCGGCCUUCACCCCCUUCUCGGCCCGUCUUCUCCACUCCUCCGUGCGCCUGGCAACCAGCUGCAGCUCCUGCGCUCAGCGCAUCUUGGGUGAACUCAGCCCCUGAUCCUGAUGCCAAGACUGGCAUUUCUAAUCCAGCUCCCAAGCCGGCCUAGUUCAGAUGACACCUCCAGCCUGAGGGAGGCAUUAGUAUCAGGCAGGGUCAUAGGGGUCCCCAGAGGUGUCCGGCCAAGCGGUGAGCAGUAAGCAGUGCCCGACACCACCAAGCUGGGCGUCCUGACCCGGGAACCAGGCCCCUCCGUCUCACCAGGGCGCAGCAGCAGACCAGUGACACGUGGCUGGUCUUCUUCACCCUCCCUGUGUCCGUGUAUUCGCAACGUGACUUUCUACCGCAAAUCAGCAGUGACCCGUGACUGCUUUUGGCCGGUGGAAUAUGGCAUAAACCACUCCGUGCUGGUCUGAGCCUGGGCCUUGAGGGUCCCGUGCGUGUCUGCUCCCUCUCAAGGCGCUGGGGCUUCCCAGCUGGUGCUAAUGGUAAAGACCCUGCCUGCCAAUGCAGGAGACACAAGAGAUGCAGGAUCAACCCCUGGGUCAGGAG
ensembl:lncRNA